AAAACGCGAUAUGUGGUGUGAAUUGCAGAUUCUCGUGACUCAUCGAACCUUUGAACGCAUUGCGCCAUAGGGGCUUGCCCCUAAGGCACACUUGGUAGAGUGUACACUAUACAUCAUCCCUCCCUUCGGGAAGGGGAAUUGGGCGUCCAGGUUGCUCUUCUGGUCGCUUUAAAUAUUUGAGCAGGGUAACAAGGGAAAAGCCUCAUGAUUUUUUUUUUACAGGGAAGCUAGGUGGUUUAUCCCCCAAGGUAAACUCCUAUCCCUGUCCAAGGAAAACCCAUGUGGUAACUACCCUUUACCCCAGGUAUUUUGUUUACCAGCUUGAACCCGCAUUUUUUAAAAAAAUGUAAAGGAGCACCUCUACUCAAGUGGGACUACCCGCCGAAUUUAA
rnacentral:misc_RNA from 1 species